UACGUAGGGUGCAAGCGUUGUCCGGAUUUAUUGGGCGUAAAGAGCUCGUAGGCGGUUUGGCAAGUCGGGUGUGAAACCUCCAGGCUCAACCUGGAGACGCCACUCGAUACUGCUAUGACUUGAGUCUGGUAGGGGAUCACGGAAUUCCUGGUGUAGCGGUGAAAUGCGUAGAUAUCGAGAGGAACACCUGUGGCGAAGGCGGGUCUCUGGACAGUUCCUGACGCUGAGGCACGAAAGCUAGGGGAGCGAACGGG
rnacentral:rRNA from 1 species